rnacentral:rRNA from 1 species
AAUCAACGCUGGCGGCGUGCCUAACACAUGCAAGUCGAGCGAGAAAAGGGAGCAAUCCCUGAGUAAAGCGGCGCACGGGUGAGUAACACGUGGGUAAUCUGCCUCAGAGCGGGGAAUAACACCGGGAAACCGGUGCUAAUACCGCAUACGAUCACGAUGUCUGCGGACGUUGUGAUGAAAGGCGCAAGUCGCUCCGAGAGGAGCCCGCGGCUGAUUAGCUAGUUGGUGGGGUAAUGGCCCACCAAGGCAACGAUCAGUAUCCGGUCUGAGAGGACGGUCGGACACACUGGAACUGAGACACGGUCCAGACUCCUACGGGAGGCAGCAGUGGGGAAUUUUUGGCAAUGGGGGCAACCCUGACCAAGCAACGCCGCGUGGGUGAUGAAGUCUCUUGGGACGUAAAACCCUUUCGACGGGGAAGAAAACCGCAAGGUUUGACGGUACCCGUAGAAGAAGCCCCGGCUAACUCCGUGCCAGCAGCCGCGGUAAUACGGGGGGGGCGAGCGUUGUUCGGAAUUACUGGGCGUAAAGGGCGCGUAGGCGGUUCGCUAAGUCGGAUGUGAAAACUCUGGGCUCAACCCAGAGC